AUCGCAUGACGCUGGCGGCAGGCCUACACAUGCAAGCCUCGAGCGGAUGAGAGGAGCUUGCUCCUUGACUCUUAGCGGCGGACGGGUGAGUAAUGCCUAGGAAUCUGCCUGGUAGUGGGGGAUAACGUUCCGAAAGGAACGCUAAUACCGCAUACGUCCUACGGGAGAAAGCAGGGGACCUUCGGGCCUUGCGCUAUCAGAUGAGCCUAGGUCGGAUUAGCUAGUUGGUGAGGUAAUGGCUCACCAAGGCGACGAUCCGUAACUGGUCUGAGAGGAUGAUCAGUCACACUGGAACUGAGACACGGUCCAGACUCCUACGGGAGGCAGCAGUGGGGAAUAUUGGACAAUGGGCGAAAGCCUGAUCCAGCCAUGCCGCGUGUGUGAAGAAGGUCUUCGGAUUGUAAAGCACUUUAAGUUGGGAGGAAGGGUUGUACGUUAAUACCGUGCAAUUUUGACGUUACCGACAGAAUAAGCACCGGCUAACUUCGUGCCAGCCGCCGCGGUA
rnacentral:rRNA from 1 species